rnacentral:rRNA from 1 species
ACGGGACCGCACAAGCGGUGGAUGAUGUGGAUUAAUUCGAUGCAACGCGAAAAACCUUACCUACCCUUGACAUGUCCAGAAUCCUGCAGAGAUGCGGGAGUGCCGAAAGGGAAUUGGAACACAGGUGCUGCAUGGCUGUCAUCAGCUCGUGUCGUGGGAUGUUGGGUUAAGUCCCGCAACGAGCGCAACCCUUAUCAUUAGUUGCUACGCAAGGGCACUCUAAUGAGACUGCCGGUGACAAACCGGAGGAAGUGGGGAUGACGUCAAGUCCUCAUGGCCCUUAUGGGUAGGACUUCACACGUCAUACAAUGGUCGGUACAGAGGGUUGCCAAGCCGCGAGGUGGAGCCAAUCCCAGAAAGCCGAUCGUAGUCCGGAUUGUUCUCUGCAACUCGAGAGCAUGAAGUCGGAAUCGCUAGUAAUCGCGGAUCAGCAUGCCGCGGUGAAUACGUUCCCGGGUCUU